GCAGCGGUAGUUCAGUUGGUUAGAAUGCCUGCCUGUCACGCAGGAGGUCGCGGGUUCGAGUCCCGUCCGCUGCGCCA
rnacentral:tRNA from 7 species